rnacentral:rRNA from 1 species
AUGAACUCUGGUGGCGUGCCUAAUACAUGCAAGUCGAGCGAACAGACGAGGAGCUUGCUCCUCUGACGUUAGCGGCGGACGGGUGAGUAACACGUGGAUAACCUACCUAUAAGACUGGGAUAACUUCGGGAAACCGGAGCUAAUACCGGAUAAUAUAUUGAACCGCAUGGUUCAAUAGUGAAAGACGGUUUUGCUGUCACUUAUAGAUGGAUCCGCGCCGCAUUAGCUAGUUGGUAAGGUAACGGCUUACCAAGGCAACGAUGCGUAGCCGACCUGAGAGGGUGAUCGGCCACACUGGAACUGAGACACGGUCCAGACUCCUACGGGAGGCAGCAGUAGGGAAUCUUCCGCAAUGGGCGAAAGCUUGACGGAGCAACGCCGCGUGAGUGAUGAAGGUCUUCGGAUCGUAAAACUCUGUUAUUAGGGAAGAACAAAUGUGUAAGUAACUAUGCACGUCUUGACGGUACCUAAUCAGAAAGCCACGGCUAACUACGUG